CGAUGCUGUUCAGAGUGAGAGGGCCUGGAGAGGGUGGGGAGGGAAGGUGAAGGUGUUUCUGGCCUCCAGUGUGGGAGGAGGUGGGAGAAAGAAGUACUGAGGGAUUCCGGGGCGCUGGCUCUGAAAUCUGGGCCAGGUUUGUUUACCUUACUGUUAACCCAACUCUGCGUGGUAGGGUUUGUCCCUGGCGUCAAAGGCAGGAACAGUUGAACCCCUAGGUUUACCCUUGACGGUAAGAGCCCAAAAGUGGGCGUUUCAGUUUUCCUGCGUCAGGGAGCCUGUGAGGCUUUGCCCUUUGACCUUUGACAUCGGUGCAGCUUCUGCUUCUUCAGAUACGGAAAACAGGAAUAAGAGAGAUUGGCCAUUCAUGACAAUUCAGAGAAAUGCUAGCUCAGAUAAUCUGUUAUUCUGUAUGAAAAACGGGAUGAGAAGAAUCAAGUAUAAGCCAGUAGACUAUCAACAGUUACAUGCAUUAACUGAAGCAAAGAAAUUAGCUUCUGCUUCUAUAGAGCAAAAGAUCAGAAAAGCAGUGGAGACUUCAAAAAUAUCCAAAGAACAAAUGCUAAUCAAACAACACAAACAAGUGUGGUGGCUAGAACACCAACGACUAAAUGAACUCAAAACAAGAGUUAUCAGAACAAUGGAGUAUGUAUCUUAAAGACGUGAUAGAUCCUAUUCAUCAGCUGAGAGCAGAUCUAAAGUACCGACAGCAUCACACCUUACAGCAUUCACGCCAUCAUAUGGAGUUUAACUCAGGCCCAGUACUGAAAGAAGUCAGUAUGAUACAUUUAUUUUUGAUAAUGUAAUAUGAAAACAGUUUGAGAUAAGAAACAAACAUAUGUGUCUUGUGUAUUUAAAGAGAUGCUCAUUC
rnacentral:lncRNA from 1 species